rnacentral:rRNA from 1 species
UACGUAGGGUGCGAGCUUUAAUCGGAAUUACUGGGCGUAAAGCGUGCGCAGGCGGUUUGCUAAGACCGAUGUGAAAUCCCCGGGCUUAACCUGGGAACUGCAUUGGUGACUGGCAGGCUAGAGUAUGGCAGAGGGGGGUAGAAUUCCACGUGUAGCAGUGAAAUGCGUAGAGAUGUGGAGGAAUACCGAUGGCGAAGGCAGCCCCCUGGGCCAAUACUGACGCUCAUGCACGAAAGCGUGGGGAGCAAACAGG